rnacentral:rRNA from 1 species
AUCAACUUUCGAUGGUAGGAUAGAGGCCUACCAUGGUGGUAACGGGUAACGGGGUGUUAGGGCACGACACCGGAGAGGGAGCCUGAGAAACGGCUACCACAUCCAAGGAUGGCAGCAGGCGCGCAAAUUACCCAAUCCCGACACGGGGAGGUAGUGACAAUAAAUAACAAUACGGGAUUCUAAAGGAUUUCGUAAUUGGAAUGAGUACAAUUUAAAUCUCUUAACGAUCAACAAUUGGAGGGCAAGUCUGGUGCCAGCAGCCGCGGUAAUUCCAGCUCCAAUAGCGUAUAUUAAAGUUGUUGCAGUUAAAAAGCUCGUAGUUGAAUUUCGGGGUUAGUAGGUUGGUCAUGCCUCUGGUAUGUACUGAUCUCACUGAUUCCUCCCUCUUGACGAACUGUAAUGUCAUUAAUUUGGUGUUCCAGGAAAUCAGGACUGUUACUUUGAAAAAAUUAGAGUGUUUAAAGCAGGCUAAGGCUUGAAUACAUUAGCAUGGAAUAAUGAAAUAGGACGUUUGAACCUAUUUUGUUGGUUUCUAGGAUCGACGUAAUGAUUAAUAGGGAUAGUUGGGGGCAUUAGUAUUCAAUUGUCAGAGGUGAAAUUCUUGGAUUUAUUGAAGACUAACUACUGCGAAAGCAUUUGCCAAGGAUGUUUUCAUUAAUCAAGAACGAAAGUUAGGGGAUCGAAGACGAUCAGAUACCGUCGUAGUCUUAACCAUAAACUAUGCCGACUAGGGAUCGGAUGAUGUUAAUUUUUUAAUGACUCAUUCGGCGCCUUACGGGAAACCAAAGUGUUUGGGUUC